rnacentral:rRNA from 1 species
UACGGAGGGUGCAAGCGUUGUCCGGAAUCAUUGGUCGUAAAGCGCACGUAGGCGGUUCUUUGAGUCUCAUGGUGAAAGGCUGGGGCUCAACCCCAAGCAUGCCGGGGAUACUGGAGGACUGGAGACAGGUAGAGGCCAGCGGAAUUCCGGGUGUAGCGGUGGAAUGCGUAGAUAUCAGGAGGAACACCGGUGGCGAAGGCGGCCCUCUGGACGGUGACUGACGCUGAGACGCGAAAGCGUGGGGAGCAAACAGG